rnacentral:lncRNA from 1 species
AACGCCCGGCCAGGGGGCGGGCGUCACAUGGUGGGCGCUGUGGCUGCGGCUGCGGCUGCAGCGGCCCCAGGUGCAAACAGACUGCCGCCGAAUGUGAGCAGCGAGGCGAGGGGUCGAGGUAGCGAGGAGUCAGGGUGGCCCGCAGCAGGAAGACAGAAGGCGUGGAGACAGACUGGCGUUUUGCCUCAGAGGAAGAAGUGGAGUCCCCUCUCCCAUUCUGUGAGCAAGUGCCAGUUCCAGUGAUUCGUACUUUCAUGUCCGAGUUGGAAACCUUGGCCCGACGGUGAUGGACUGCACGACUUGCUGGACUCCCAAGUCCGAAGUUUCUGCGGCAGCGCUUGCUUUGUGGCGCCACCUGGAACAUAGAGAACGGUGGGGGUAAAUAAGGGGAGCCUGAAGUUUCUGCUCUGUGCUUGCGUGUUCGACUCCCAUCGCCGAGACUUUCUUCUGCUUUGGAUCGCUUGUCCCAGGCUGACGCCGCGCUGCGACGUCUCCCCUCGUAGGAGCCUAACGCCAACCCCUGCGCCAGGCAGGGAUGGAAUCAUCAUUCUCAUUGUAUAGAUGGACACUGAGGCUCGAGAACGGAAACGACUUCUUUUGAGUUGGGUGCCCCUCCCCCCUUGCCAGGCAGCCGCCUUUCUCUGUUGCCAUAGCACAAAUCACAAGGGUAUUUAUGGAACAAAAGCUCAGACCGCUGAGAUGUUCACUCUGCACUUUCAGCAGCACUCACAUUGAGAUAUGAGAAGACUGCAACAAGAACAAAAGGGUUGUGCCACCUCCUUUGGAUGUGAAGAGGAUGUGCUGACACGUGUGCUCGGGAGCCAGACUUUGUGGCCUUGGGGAAAGGACUGAAUAUUUCUGUGCUUCGUCGUUUGCAUCUGUGGAAUGCAGGUGAUACUGAGCUCUUCCUUGUGGGAUUAUUGCCUGGAAAUACACCAUUAUAGGCUCAU